CUCGACAGUGCCAAGCCCGUCGGCUCUCUGAGCCGGGUGACUUGCAAGCCAGGCCCUCGGGUGCCAGUCGUCAAAGCUGGGGUGCUGCGUGGAGAGUCCCAGCUCUUCACUCCUCAGGGAGAGACUUGCAGCUGGGGCUCCCUCCCGAUUGUAAGGGUGGGGCUCGUGCACGUCCUGUAAUGUUGCUGAAAGCUGGACAUGCUGACUCAGAUACUGGGAGUUGAGGUGACACAAGCCAAACACAGACACUGCCCACCUCUCCCUCCUCACUUUUUUCAGUCUCUUUCUUUCCUCGCUGCUCUGGCCUCGAAGGACUUCCUGGAGUUGCCUGAAUCCUUCAUCCCAUCUUUUCUCUCUGGAUCUGCUGUGGGGAUUGGGGACAAAAUGUUUCUCAACGAGUAUAUUCUAUUAACAAAGAGAUUUUGAUAAAGUUUGGAGGUUUAAUGGAGGUUUGGGUGUGUCAGUUUUUCACUAUUAACACCAGUUUAAAUGUCUUUCUGGAUGAAAAAUACACUGAAACUAUAAAA
rnacentral:lncRNA from 1 species